rnacentral:rRNA from 1 species
UACGUAGGGUGCGAGCGUUAAUCGGAAUUACUGGGCGUAAAGCGUGCGCAGGCGGUUCGUUAAAUUCGUUGUGAAAGCCCCGGGCUCAACCUGGGAACUGCAAUGGAAACUGGCGGGCUUGAGUGUGGCAGAGGGGGGUGGAAUUCCGCGUGUAGCAGUGAAAUGCGUAGAGAUGCGGAGGAACACCGAUGGCGAAGGCAGCCCCCUGGGCCAACACUGACGCUCAGGCACGAAAGCGUGGGGAGCAAACAGG